UACGAAGGGGGCUAGCGUUGCUCGGAAUCACUGGGCGUAAAACGCACGUAGGCGGAUUGCUAAGUCAGGGGUGAAAUCCUGGAGCUCAACUCCAGAACUGCCUUUGAUACUGGCGAUCUCGAGUCCGGGAGAGGUGAGUGGAACUGCGAGUGUAGAGGUGAAAUUCGUAGAUAUUCGCAAGAACACCAGUGGCGAAGGCGGCUCACUGGCCCGGUACUGACGCUGAGGUGCGAAAGCGUGGGGAGCAAACAGG
rnacentral:rRNA from 1 species